GACGAACGCUGGCGGCGUGCUUAACACAUGCAAGUCGUACGGUAAGGCCCUUUCGGGGGUACACGAGUGGCGAACGGGUGAGUAACACGUGAGUAACCUGCCCACAACUUUGGGAUAACGCUAGGAAACUGGUGCUAAUACUGGAUAUGUGCUCCUGCUGCAUGGUGGGGGUUGGAAAGCUCCGGCGGUUGUGGAUGGACUCGCGGCCUAUCAGCUUGUUGGUGGGGUAGUGGCCUACCAAGGCGGCGACGGGUAGCCGGCCUGAGAGGGUGACCGGCCACAUUGGGACUGCGAUACGGCCCAGACUCCUACGGGAGGCAGCAGUGGGGAAUAUUGCACAAUGGGCGCAAGCCUGAUGCAGCAACGCCGCGUGCGGGAUGACGGCCUUCGGGUUGUAAACCGCUUUCAGCAGGGACGAAGCUUUUUGUGACGGUACCUGCAGAAGAAGCACCGGCUAACUACGU
rnacentral:rRNA from 1 species